UACGAAGGGGGCUAGCGUUGCUCGGAAUCACUGGGCGUAAAGCGCACGUAGGCGGCUCUUUAAGUCAGGGGUGAAAUCCUGGAGCUCAACUCCAGAACUGCCUUUGAUACUGGGAAGCUUGAGUCCGGGAGAGGUGAGUGGAACUCCGAGUGUAGAGGUGAAAUUCGUAGAUAUUCGGAAGAACACCAGUGGCGAAGGCGGCUCACUGGCCCGGUACUGACGCUGAGGUGCGAAGGCGUGGGGAGCAAACAGG
rnacentral:rRNA from 1 species